rnacentral:rRNA from 1 species
AUUGAACGCUGGCGGCAGGCCUAACACAUGCAAGUCGAACGAGUGGCGGACGGGUGAGUAAUGUCUGGGAAACUGCCUGAUGGAGGGGGAUAACUACUGGAAACGGUAGAUAAUACCGCAUACCAUCAGAUGUGCCCAGCGGGGCUGAGCUAGUUGGUGGGGUAACGACUCCCAAAGGCGACGAUCCCUAGCUGGUCUGAGAGGAUGACCAGCCACACGGGAACUGAGACACGGUCCAGACUCCUACGGGACGCAGCAGGGGGGAAUAUUGCACAAUGGGCGCAAGCCUGAUGCAGCCAUGCCGCGUGGAUGAAGAGGGCCUGAGGGUUGUAAAGUACUUUCAGCGGGGAGGCGUUACCCGCAGAAGAAGCACCGGCUAACUCCGUGCCAGCAGCCGCGGUAAUUC